rnacentral:rRNA from 1 species
AAAUGAAUAGACGGGGGCCCGCACAAGCGGCGGAGCAUGUUGCUUAAUUCGACGCAACGCGAAGAACCUUACCAAGGUUUGACAUCACCCGGACAGCCGCAGAGAUGUGGUGUUCUUCGGACUGGGUGACAGGUGGUGCAUGGCUGUCGUCAGCUCGUGUCGUGAGAUGUUGGGUUAAGUCCCGCAACGAGCGCAACCCUUGUUCCAUGUUGCCAGCACGCUCCUUCGGGGGUGGUGGGGACUCAUGGGAGACUGCCGGGGUCAACUCGGAGGAAGGUGGGGAUGACGUCAAGUCAUCAUGCCCCUUAUGUCUUGGGCUGCAAACAUGCUACAAUGGCCGGUACAGAGGGCUGCUAAACCGUGAGGUGGAGCGAAUCCCUAAAAGCCGGUCUCAGUUCGGAUUGGGGUCUGCAACUCGACCCCAUGAAGUCGGAGUCGCUAGUAAUCGCAGAUCAGCAACGCUGCGGUGAAUACGUUCCCGGGCCUUGUACACACCGCCCGU